ACCUCAGGAGAUCCACCGGCCUCGGCCUCCCAAAGCGCUGGGAUUACAGGUGUGAGCCACCGUGCCCGGCUAAGCCCCGCUUUUCUAGAUCUUGGGCUGGGGGAGAAAAAGGAAGCCGUUUCCUCUCCACUCCCAGGGCCCAGGGAAAGGGAGGUGGUCCUGGCCCCCUGGGGAGGGCAGGACUUUGGUUGUAGGGUUGGCCCCCAGAGCCAGGGGUGGAAAGGGUCUCCAGGGGAGCUGGUGGGUCCUUCCCCGCUGGGCUCUGCUCAGCCUGUGGUGGCCACGUGGCAGGGGCCCCAUCCCAGACCUUCAGCCACUGCCAGCCCGGCCAGCCUGCGUCUGACGAUGUCAGUUCUCUCGGGUUUCCUUGAUCAGGCUUCCUCAAUGCCCAGAGCUUUGGGAUACUUCGUGGUGGCUCUCCGGGAUCCAGGUGGCCACCGUCCUCCCUGGCUCUCCGUGUUGCCCACUCCUGAGGCCCUGGCUCCUGGAUGCUUCAGCCUACGUGUGCCUCCUCGCUCUGUUUUCGUGGGUGCUACCCCUACGCAGGGCCCACCUCCUGGCUUCAGCCCCUGCCCACUCUUUGAGCAGGGGUGGAUCUCCCCAACACUCUGGCCCACACAGAUGUGCUUGCGGCCAAAUGACACAGGCGCGGCAGAGACUCUUGGAGCCUCUUCUUGAGGGGGACUCAACCUUGGGCUUCCAUGUGCAACCCUGCCGAGUCCAACGGAGCAGGAACCCAGAGUCAGGUCAGAGAGAAUCCCACCCCGAUGUCUGAGCUCCAGGAGCAGAUCAGACCUCAGUCCUCGACGCCUUCAGCAGGAUGCCCCGGCCCUGCCGCACCCUCCUGGUGAUUUUCCAGCCACGGACCCCCUCACUUCUCGGCUGUGAACCCCCCUUGUCCUGCUGCACCCAACAUAGAGCCCGUCUCUCCCUCACUGCGGGAGUCCAUAAUGAAGUCUUCCUUGCCAUUACGAUAAGCACCAGGAUAAUUUUUCCUUAACAGGUUCUCUCUAGACUGGAUCAGGGACAGUCUUGGCUGUAAAUUGUGAAUUAGCUGUGACUCUGCCACCCACGGUUGCCCGCCAGAGUUCUUUCUAAAUGUUCUAUCUGAGCCUGGCCGUUGCUGCUGGCUCUGGAGGUGCAGUCACACCACCCUGGCUGACACGCCUCGGCCUGACCUGCAGUCUCACCCCACAGAAGGAUCUGGGGUGAACGUCUGGCUCCAGGCACUGUUGCAGGGCUGUUGGGUCCUGUGUCUGAGCCCACAAAGGCUUCCUGGGAGCGGCAUCGCCAGCCCUGUGGACCCUGCUCCCUAUGGGCUUCUGGGUAUAGAUCAGGUGCCCAGCAUGCGCCCCCAGACAGGAGCUCCCCUCUGCCCUGCCUCUGGGACCCACUUUCACCCAAGUCCUGUGGGACUGGCAUAGCCUAGGGCCCGGGUGCUGGCAGCAUCUGGCUGGAGCCUGGGGCGGGGCAGGGCAGGGCCUUCCAGGCGCGUUCCCGAGCGUGCACUGAAGGUGUUAGCGCGUGGCACCGGAGACACCAGGCUGGAUGAGGCUGGACAAGCGCCUCCGCCAGAAGCAGCACAGGCCUGACACAGGCAAACCUCCCGGAGACCACCCCACGGACCCCAGCCCCUGCUGACCCUCCCAGGAGGCGUUGCUGGAAAUCCACCCUGAGAAUUCUGCUCCAGGAGCUGAACCAGCGGUAUCAGCAUCUUAAAGCGCUGACCUACCUCUCGGCUGUGUGAUAUCUAGGGGUCCGUCCCAGACCAGCAUCCCCAGGGCUGACGGGUCUGCAGGGCACAGAGAUGUGGGAUCUGCUGUGUCUCUGCCCCACAGUGGCCAUGCCGGGACACAGAGCUGCUGCUUGGGGAAGGGACAGAUUCAGACACAGUAGUGGGUUAACCUGAGGCCCUCUCAAAAGACAUGUCCACCUAGAACCUCGGGAAGGGACACGUCCGCCUGGAACCUCGGGAAGGGACGCGUCCGCCUGGAACCUCGGGAAGCGACGCGUCCGCCUGGAACCUCGGGAAGGGACACGUCCGCCUGGAACCUCGGGAAGGGACGCGUCCGCCUGGAACCUCGGGAAGGGACGCGUCCGCCUGGAACCUCGGGAAGGGACGCGUCCGCCUGGAACCUCGGGAAGGGAUGCGUCCGCCUGGAACCUCGGGAAGGGACGCGUCCGCCUGGAACCUCGGGAAGGGACGCGUCCACCUGGAACCUCGGGAAGGCCUUUGCAGAUGUGAUCGAGUUAAGGAUCUCAAGAUUCAAGAUAAGGUCACCCCAGGUUGCCUGCGUGGGCCCUGAGUCCAGUGGCGUGUCCUGGAGGGAGACCAGCAGAGGUGGAGGGCACGUCCAUGGGCUGAGAAGGGCAGGACUGUGACAGGAGGGAGGUGCAGGGCGGAUCCCCAGAGCCACUGCCUCCCCACGCUUGACCUCAGGCUCCUGGCCCCAGAACCAUGAGGGAAUAAACUGUCCUUUUAAGCCCUCUGCUGUGUGAUGAUUGGCAGUGCCAGCAAUGGGAGCUGAUACAGACCCUGAUCGGGGACCCAGACACCUGGCAGCUUGGGCUGGGCCCCUUCGAGUUAAAGCUGGCCUUGCUGCUACCUGUCCCUCGCUGAGUCCUCGCUGCGCACUGUGGCUGCACCUGGCAAGCACAGGGAGCCCCUGGGGUCCUGUGGGUGCAGACAUGGGUCCCUCGGUCUGGGUGGCUGAGAUGGAGCCCCUCCCCAGCUCCGGGGAGCACUGGGCCGGGGACCACCCAUGAGUGGUGAGUAUCUCUCCCGCUGCACCUUGAGGUCACCCAGGAACCUUCAGAAGUGCUGAUGCGGGGACCCCGCUCCCCACUGUCCAGGGUGGACUGGCUAGGCGGUGGCCUGGGCAUCGGGACACAUUACAGCUCUCCAGGGAGCGCGGUGUGCAGCCAGGAUGGAACCCGUGGUCCUGGUGCUGAGGAUGGCGGGUGCCUGCCUCCAUCUCCGUGGGCCAGCCUUCGGGGCCCCGUUUCCUGGAGCAGCGAGGGCUUCACGUGGCUGUUGAGCUGCAGAAGGAGGGGCCCUCCCAGCACCCCAUUCAGAGCCAGCGGAGGAAUCUGAAGGCAUGGGGAGGGCGGGGUGGAGCCGAGGUUGCAGAGAGGCUGGACCCUGAAGCCUCAGGAGUUCAACUGGCACGGGGUGCGGGGAGUGGCAGCCGGGAAGCCGGCCUGGGGCUUUCUCCUCUCGGCCUCCUUUGCUGGCGUCUCAGGUGGAGGGGCCUGUGUGGCAGGCGGGUGGCAUGAGGGUGAGGGGCCUGUGUGGCAGGCGGGUGGCCUGAGGGUGAGGGGCCUGUGUAGCAGGCGGGUGGCCUGAGGGUGAGGGGCCUGUGUGGCAGGCGGGUGGCCUGAGGGUGAGGGGCCUGUGUAGCAGGCGGGUGGCCUGAGGGUGAGGGGCCUGUGUGGCAGGCGGGUGGCUUGAGGGUGAGGGGCCUGUGGGGCGGGCGGGUGGCCUGAGGGUGAGGGGCCUGUGGGGCGGGCGGUGGCUGCAGCGUGGAGAUUGUUGUCAGCACAGAAUUGUGGCACCAGUUGUUGAGACGCAGUGACAGGCAGAUGACUGGCCAGGCAGUGACAGGCAGAUGGCUGCCCAGGCAGUGACAGGCAGAUGGCUGCCCAGGCCGCGGCCUUGUCUGCACCUGCCUGAGCAUGCAGAGAGGCCCCCACACUGGUCACCCAGGGUCCGGGUGUGCCCACAGAUGCUGCCCCCGCGCUGUGGGCAGCCCUGGCCCAGGCAGGUUCUCUGGAGCUGCUCCCGCCCAGUGCAGGCCGUGUGCAGGACCUUUGUUUAUCCCCCUGGAUGUUGAACUUGGCCAGCUUACGGCACUGAAACAAAGGCCCUGACUGCUGCCUGAACCCGCCCCGGGCUCACUUCCAUGCCCAGGCCUGCGGGAGGGGCUGGGGUGUGCAGGAGAGUUGGGCGUUGGGAGGCCACCCCACCGCGUGCCUGCAGUGCCCUCUUCUCGGCCCCAGUCCCCAGCAUAUCCAUGGGGUGCCUUCCAGUGUGGGUUUCGGGAACCUCCACAUUCCAGCCUGGAGUCCUGGCCAUGGGGAAGGGACGCCCACUGUGCUCAUCCCGUGCGGCCGCCUCGUGCCCAUCAGAGGCUGCACCAAACCCCGUGCGCCCUCUGGGCGAUCAGAGCCGGAGGCCUCAAGUGGCCCAGCCCUGCUGGCUGCUGCGGGACCUCAGCUGCUGUGGGGCAGGCGUCUAUGGGUUCCCAGGGCCCUCCCCUCCCCACAGGGGUGUGAGGAGGUGCAAAGGGGAUGCCUCCUGGCCUGACCCCACGGCCAGACCAGUCCUGUGUGUCCUGAGUGAGGACGCCUAUCCCUGAGCCCCAGAAACGCACCAGGAGGCAGGUGUGAGACGGCUGUGUCCCCAGCUCCUGCUGCAGUUGGCCCACAGCGGGCCCCUACGAGGCUGGGCGGUGAGGGGACGGCUCGGACCGCCCGCGCCCCAGGACCCCUGUGUCGGCCUCAUCCUGCGCCUCAGCCCCAAACCCUGCAGCUCCCGGGACCCUGGCACCCGGUCACCCUCCACAGCGCCACGGGGCUCCUCUGACCCCACCCUUGUUGCCAGCCCAGCCGGAGUCUGACUUCUCCGUGGUGCCGCCCCCACCCCCGGGAAUGACAUGCCGGGGCGGUGGAGCCAGGCCCUGGGCCCGGGGGCAGGACAGGCAGGGACCAUGAGCAGCUCCACAGAAACCCUUCCCCAGGGCUUCAGGGGCCAGGCGGGACCCCCACUUCCGGGAGGAGACCCCAGUGCCCCUCACGCUCAGGGGUGCGGUGGGUGGAGAGAUUCGGAGGGGAGAGCUGGGGGCUCCGGAGGAGGGGCUGUGGGUGGGACCCCGUCCCCCUCUGGCUGCAGCAGGCAGUGAAGCUGCAUCAGGGGCUCCACCCUGCUGACCACAGUCCUGGGGCACCCAGUGGAGGCCGGAGACACCAGCAGGUUCUCCUGGUCACAUGGCCCCACCUGCCCUGUCCCCCAGAGCCCCCCAGGCUUGGGAUGAGUUGCGAGGGGUCGGAUGGACGGCGCAGGACACACGACACAGAGUAGUUGUGGCGGUUGCCCCUAGGGAGACGUGGAGAGAGGCCCCAGGGCACCCUGGAAGCGGAGGCUGUGGCUCCGUGUGUCCCAGGGCACAGCACCGCCCCUCACAGCCGAAGCUCUGAUCCCUUGGUCUCAGGAAACACUCAGGAAGUGCAGGGCGGGCGUGGGUCUGAUUUCAGGGUGAGGGAGCUGGCAGCCCCAGGAGUGAGGAGGCCCCAGUCCCCUUUCACCAAGCCCGUCCUCCCCUUCCCGCUGCCACGACACUGGUGCCUGCAGCCGUGCCAGCUAGGAGGGCGACGUGGACAGGAUUUCUCUCUAGAAAGGAUCCUGGGGUCCGAUUGAGAAGCUGGCUUGAACGUUAGACGCUGUAGCUCAGAGCACUGGGUAUGCACCCAGAAGGAGAAGUGCUCAUCACAUGGUAAUUCUUUUGUUUUGUUUUUUUAAGAAAAAGGUCUCACUCUUUGCCCAAAGCAACUUUCUUAUUUAUCUUUGCAUCCUAAGAGUCUAAAACAAUGACUGGCAUGAAGUAUACAAACUAUACAUCGCCUAGUAAGUGGAUAAAACGAUUAAUUAAUUUGCCCAACAUUCAAAACGUGAUGGGGUGGGAUUCACAGCCAUGACUUCUCAUUGCAACGCUCAAGCUCCUUGUGCUGCUCCACGCCGCCUUUCGGUACACGAGAAGCUGAGGAUCCACGCCGCCUUUCCGUACAUGAGAAACUGUAGGAUCCACGCCACCUUUCAGUAGAGAAGCUGUAGGAUCCACACCGCCUUUCCGUACACAAGAAGCUGUAGGAUCCACGCCGCCUUUCCGUACACGAGAAGCUGUAGGAUCCACGCCACCUUUCAGUAGAGAAGCUGUAGGAUCCACGCCGCCUUUCCGUACACGAGAAGCUGUAGGAUCCACGCCACCUUUCAGUAGAGAAGCUGUAGGAUCCACACCGCUUUUCAGUACACGAGAAACUGUAGGAUCCACGCCACCUUUCAGUACACGAGAAACUGCAGGACAAAUGACCGUAUGCCCAGGUUCCAAUGGCAAAACGCCACACCUCUUAUGAUACUAUCUUUGUGCACAUAAAAUGUUCAUUUUUGUCUAAUAAAUAAGUGACUUGUAA
rnacentral:lncRNA from 1 species